GAAGCCCAGUUUGGGAACUGGCUGGGGAGACUGAGAAAAGAAAGAGCUGGGGCGGUCAGAUCACGUUUCACAUCACAUCAGAGCUGUGGAAUUUCCUCUCUUCUAGGGGGAGCCCUGUGAAGAUGAAGUUGGUUUAAGAUGCGGCAUCUGAGACACAGAGACAUGAAGAAAUUCGCCAAACUAUGAAGGUUCUCAUUAUGUUGCCCAGACUGGACUCCUGGGCUCAAGGGAUCCUCCCGCCUCAGCCUCCCAAGUAGCUGAGACUACAGAGCAGGCCAGGCUAAGCAGGACAUUUUAUAAAGUGGCUAACAUGUGGAGCCUUCAGAAAUGAAGACCCAAAGGCCCUGGGAACACAGUCUACCUUGAUGUCUAGGUUCCAUGAAGAAUGGACAGCCAUGUGGAAAUGCGGCUGGACGGAAGGCUGUGCUCUGAUGGUCAUAGACGGAGGGAACCCUGCAAGGCCUGUCAGAUCACCGAAGACUAGCAGAGUCCCUCCAUGCGCUGCCACAGCUCCUGCCAAGGCCCCUCCUCACGUUCCAGGGGCACCCCUUCCCCUUCGGGUGCAGUGCAAACAGCUCCCCCUGCUACGCCACUUUCCCCAACACUGCCUACACCUUCGUAAGCAACUCCUUUAUUAAACUGCUCUCAA